AAAGUCGUAACAAGGUUUCCGUAGGUGAACCUGCGGAAGGAUCAUUAACACGUAUCCAAACGUCUAACCCCCCCAUAGUGCUUCACGAUUCCUGUAGACCGUAACACUCAGACAGGAGCAUGCCAAAGGAUCCCCAUGCCCUCUUAUAACCCCACAGAUUAAUGUGAAGUUCAAUGCAAUACAUUGAGUAAAAAAAUCGAACAACUGUUAACAAUGGAUACCUUGGUUCUC
rnacentral:misc_RNA from 1 species